rnacentral:rRNA from 1 species
AGAGUUUGAUUAUGGCUCAGAACGAACGCUGGCGGCAGGCUUAACACAUGCAAGUCGAACGGGUGUAGCAAUACAUCAGUGGCAGACGGGUGAGUAACACGUGGGUAACCUUCCUAGGGGUACGGAACAACUCAGGGAAACUUGAGCUAAUACCGUAUACGUCCGUGAGGAGAAAGAUUUAUCGCCCUUAGACGGGCCCGCGUCGGAUUAGCUAGUUGGUGGGGUAACGGCCUACCAAGGCGACGAUCCGUAGCUGAUCUUAGAGGAUGAUCAGCCACACUGGGACUGAGACACGGCCCAGACUCCUACGGGAGGCAGCAGUGGGGAAUCUUGGACAAUGGGCGCAAGCCUGAUCCAAGCCAUGCCGCGUGAGUGAAGAAGGUCUUCGGAUUGUAAAGCUCUUUUGCCAGGGACGAUAAUGACGGUACCUGGAGAAUAAGCCCCGGCAAACUUCGUGCCAGCCGCAGC